rnacentral:rRNA from 1 species
CUUUGCGAAAGUGCUGCUAAUACCCGAUGAUGUGACCGGAUCGCAUGAUCUGGCCCCCAAAGGUGGGGACCGCAAGGCCCACCGGUUUGGGAGCGGCCCAUUUCCUAUCAGCUAGUUGGUGAGGUAACGGCUCACCAAGGCAGCGACGGGUAGCGGGACUGAGAGGUCGGCCCGCCACAUCGGGACUGAGACACUGCCCGGACACCUACGGGUGGCUGCAGUAACGAAUAUUGGGCAAUGGGCGCAAGCCUGACCCAGCGACGCCGCGUGCAGGAUGAAGUCCUUCGGGAUGUAAACUGCUGUCAGGGGCUAACAAGCGAUCCGGGUGAACAAUCCGGAAAGUUGAGUCGCCCCAGAGGAAGUCUCGGCUAACUCUGUGCCAGCAGCCGCGGUAAGACAGAGGAGACAAGCGUUGUUCGGAAUUACUGGGCUUAAAGCGCACGUAGGCGGCCUGUUAAGUGUUCCGUGAAAUCCCCCGGCUUAACCGGGGAACUGCGGGGCAAACUGGCAGGCUUGAGGUCGGUAGAGGUGCCUGGAACUCUAGGUGGAGCGGUGAAAUGCGUAGAUAUCUAGAGGAACGCCAGAGGCGAAAGCGGGGCACUGGGCCGAUUCUGACGCUGAGGUGCGAAAGCGUGGGGAGCAAACAGGAUUAGAUACCCUGGUAGUCCACGCCGUAAACGAUGCAUACUAGGUUCCGGAGUCUCUGAUGGCCCCGGGCCGGAGCAAAAGUGCUAAGUAUGCCGCCUGGGGAGUACGGCCGCAAGGCUUAAACUCAAAGGAAUUGACCGGGGGCUCACACAAGCGGUGGAGCAUGUGGCUUAAUUCGAAGCAACGCGAAGAACCUUACGCAGGUUCGACAUGCAAGAGUCCUCUCCGGGGAUAACUCAGAGAGGUGCCUUUCGGGGUAAUGCUUGCACAGGUGUUGCAUGGCUGUUGUCAGCUCGUGCUGUGAAGUGUCGGGUUAAGUCCCUUAACGAGCGAAACCCUUGUCGCUAGUUGCCAGCGGGUCAUGCCGGGGACUCUAGCGAGACUGCCGGCGUUAAGCCGGAGGAAGGCGGGGAUGACGUCAAGUCAUCAUGGCCCUUAUGCCUGGGGAUGCACACGUGCUACAAUGGCGCGUACAGAGCGAUGCAAGACCGCGAGGUGGAGCAAAUCGCAAAAAACGUGCCUCAGUUCAGAUUGGAGUCUGCAAUUCGACUCCAUGAAGUUGGAAUCGCUAGUAAUCGCGUAUCAGCUACGACGCGGUGAAUGUGUUCCUGAGCCUUGCACACACCGCCCGUCACA